rnacentral:rRNA from 1 species
GACGAACGCUGGCGGCGUGCUUAACACAUGCAAGUCGAACGGAAAGGCCCCAUUGGGGGUACUCGAGUGGCGAACGGGCGAGUAACACGUGAGUAACCUGCCCUUGACUUCGGGAUAACUUCAGGAAACUGGGGCUAAUUCCGGAUAGGAAUCCUUGCUGCAUGGUGGGGGUUGGAAAGCUUCGGCGGUUUUGGAUGGUCUCGCGGCGUAUCAGCUUGUUGGUGGGGUAGUGGCUUACCAAGGCGUUGACGGGUAGCCGGCCUGAGAGGGCGACCGGCCACAUUGGGACUGAGAGACGGCCCAGACGCCUACGGGAGGCAGAAGUGGGGAAGAUUGAACAAUGGGCGGAAGCCUGAUGCAGAAACGCCGCGUGCGGGAUGACGGCCUUCGGGUUGUAAACCGCUUUCAGCAGGGGCGAAGCUUGUGGUGACGGUACCUGCAGAAGAAGCACCGGCUAACUACGUG